AUGAAAUAUUCAUUCUUUAAAUCCUUUUAAAAUGUUUACAUGUCAAUUUUCUCAUGGUUUCUUAUUAUUCAGUGUUAUAUGUCAUAAGAAAAAGCAAGAGGGCGCCACAUUAGUGCAGGCAUGGGGUCACAUGGAGUUAUGAGGUGCAGAGAUGAAACCCUGAGUUGUUUACUUUUGUAAAUGGUUAAUUUUCAUUCCUGGGCUGCCAUACAGUCUCAAAGACAACAUAGGCCCAGGAAUCCAAUCUGGGAUAUUUCAAUGUGUAAAAGCUGAAAAGGGGAAAGCGCUGUAUUUGACCCUGUUACUUUCCAAAACCCCAUAAAACCUAUACAUGGGGGUUACUGUUAUACUCGUGAGAUAUCGCUGAACAUAGCUAUGUGUAUUUUAAAAUCUAGCAGUAUUAUGACAUUCACAGUUAAAAUGCCACGAAGAGCUAAGAAUAUAACAAAAUGUCGUCGUUUCUCAAAUUUCUUUUAGAUUGAAUUCAUUUUAAAUGGUUUCAUAUGUGAAUAUUUGAUAUGAAAUGAAAGCAGUGUUUCUCCUGAAAAACAAA